rnacentral:lncRNA from 10 species
CCCACUAUUUUUCUAGAAAAUGAUACUUGACCAGGUUGUCUGUUCAUUUCCUUAAGUAUAAAAGCCAGCACUGUCUAAACUAAUUUGAUAAUUGUUAAAGAUGAACGUCUGUAAAAACACACUGGCCGCUCUGCCAAAGUUCCUCACCUGUAUGUAGCACCCCGUUAAUCCACAUAGUAAACUUGCAACUUUCAGUUAAAUUCAAGGUUGGUUUGUUUUAAAUGUGGUAUGCUAGAUGAUGAUGGUGACUGAAGUCUGCCUAAUCUCCCUUCAAGCAAAGUGAAUUCCAGUAAUAAAGUAGGUGGGGAAUAUGGUCUCGAUUAAAAAUAUGUACAUAGUGAGUGGAAAUUGAGCAGGCAAUGAAAUAUCUACUGUAGGAUUCAGUAUAGAAUGCCUUGGCUGACGAGUCUAUUGGGAUCCUGUAUGUCACUAUCUAAAAGUCUUUUUUUCUUGGGCUGGUCAGAUUUCUCCAAAAGACUCUUUAAAUCUCCUACCUGGAAGGUGAGGCUCUGGCUGCCACAGUUCCAGGGCCCAGUGGAGAUAGAAAGCCAGAAGUCUCCAUAUUCAAGACUAAGAAUGAGGUUUUAAUUUAGGUAUGUACCCAUGAACCAUCACCACAAUCAAGACGGUGAACACAUCCAUCACUCCUCAAAGUUUCCUUGUUCCUCUUUAUAAUCCGGCCCUCUUGCCAUCCCCAUCCUCUACACUCCAAGCAACCACUGAUCUGCUGUCACUAUUGAUGAGUUUGCAUUUUCUAGAUUUAUAUAAUGGAAUCAUACAGUAUAUACUUUUUUUCUGGCUUCUUUCACUUAGCAUAAUUAUUUUGAUAUUCUUAUAUAGUACGUAUCAAUGUUCAUUUAAAAAAUAUAACUGAAGAGUAUGUAUUGUAUGAAUACAUCACAAUGUUUAUUUAUUCAUCUGUGGAGGGAUGUUGAAGUUGUUUCCGGUUUUUGGCUACUUCAAAUAAAGCUGCCACAAACAUUUGCAAACACUGUUAAAAAUUAUUAUUAAAUGUGAGCUCUGUUAAUGAAUAUGAAAGGAGAUGGAAGGGUCAUGAAAUGCUAUUCGCAAUCCUGACUUCCUUAUGCUUGAGCUAAUGACAAAUCCAGCCUCCCUUUCACCACUUAAAAAGAUAGGAGACAGAAUUAGUUCAAACACAUGGCUGGGUGUGGUGGCUCACUUCUGUAAUCCCAGCACUUUGUGAGGCCAAGGCGGGCGGAUCACCUGAGGUCAGAAGUUUGAGACCAGCCUGGCCAAGAUGGUGAAACGCCGUCUCUAAUAAAAAAAUUAGCUGCACGUGAUGACACACGCCUGUAAUCCCAGCUACUAGGGAGGCUGAGGUGGGAGGAUUGCUUGAACCCGGGAGGUGGAGGUUGCAAUGAGCCGAGAUUGCACCACUGCACUCCAGCAUGGGCGACAAAGCAAGACCCAGCUGGGUGUGGUGGUGCACACCUAUAAUCCCAGCUACUCGGGAGGGAGGCUCAGGCAUGAGAAUCGCUUGAAGCCGGGAGGCAGGGGUUGCAGUGAGCUGAAAUCAUGCCACUGCACUCCAGCCUGGGCGACAGAGCCGAGGCUCUGUCUCAGAAAAAAAAAAGUUUUACAUCUUAAGUCUCAUAGGUGCUAACAGAUACUAACAGAAGAGGGGAACUAUUGUUUGAGUAUACUGAGGACUGGGCGCGGUGGCUCACACCUGUAAUCCUAGCACUUCAGGUGGCCGGGACGGGCGGAUCACGAGGUCAGGAGAUGGAGACCAUCCUGGUUAACAUGGUGAAAC